AGCUGGUAAGAUGGUCGGCACAUGUUUGGGAUCACUACAUGGACUUCCUGCAAAUUCAAGAAAGGUUCAUGAGGUAUUAUUCUGAAAAUUACUGUUUUGUCUUAUGCUCUCCUUGGACCAACUAAGAAAGCUAAAGAGAUUAGAAAUACUUACUUAGAUAUCUACUUGCAGUGGCAGGAUGAUCGGUCACAAGUCCAUCAACCCUAGUAGUUUGGACAUAUGUAGCGAUCUCAAAAGUAGGAUCUGACCAAUAGUCAAAGGCCAGGGACAUGUAUUCAUUUCUGAGAGUACGUAUGAAAACUGUGAGGUUUGCAUCUUUCAACUCUUUAACAACAUUUGUUAUCCCUAAUAACACGGAAGCGGUAGUUGCUGUAACAACAGAGGUUUUAGGAAGAUUCACUGCAACUGCAUACUUCUUAAUUUCAUCAACAGUCGGCCUUGGUGCAUCUCCUAUUAUUUCACCAAUUAUCAACACCCUUUUAUAAGAUGGAAUAUCCUUAAACUUGGAAAGCACUGAACUAUCAUCUGAUUGAAUCAGGACUUGUUGUGUGGAUUGUUUGUCAAAGGUUGCAUUGCUUAAGGCAGUGCUGACAACACCUACAAUGUCAAGACCCUUCUUUGAUGCAAGGUAGGCAGCAUUCUGUGAGACAAAUAAAGACAUUUAGUAUUAGUGUGUAAUUUUCAAAUAUAAGCAUUGUAGGGAGUUGGGGAUGUUUCUCACCGAUAUGUUGACCAAAAUGCCAGCAACUGCCUUUGCUUUGGCUAAUUCCAAAAAUUCAGGGAGUGUAACAAAUUUACCGCUGUUCUUUUCUGCUGGAUUUCUUGGUAAGUCACUUUGAGUGUUAACAAUUUGAGCUGAAACAAGGAAUUUAUACUAUUUAAGUUCAUUUUCAAAUUUAAAGGAUGGAUCUGUAUGUAAAAUUUGUUCUAUAAAAGUAUUUACGUUUUAGUGUCUGAAUCUCGCUCCAUGUAAGGUCAAAGGAGAAAAUUCCACUUUUUGCUUGAAGUUCUGGGACAAGGGAAGAUCGAGACAUGAACUUAGUCAUUGCAGUUGUAGUUCCUAUUAGGUCUAUUGAAUUUGUGCAGAAAGCAACUCCAUCUUUUGUCAUUUGAACUGAGCAAUCUAUAAUGUCAACUCCGUCUGCUAUUGCUUGGUUAUAUGCAAGAUCAGUGCUGCCCGGAUAAACACCACUUGCUCCAUUGUUGCUUAUUAUCCAAGUUGGUCCUGCAAAAGCAGAUGUAUUAAUUAUGAUGUUUUUCUUUAUCUUAUCCGUGUUAAUGAUUGAAAACAUGUCAAGGUAAGAAAUUAUACCUUUUUGGGGCAAGGUAUUGUUGUGUGCAAAGCAAGCUGUAAAACAACAAUAUUGUGAGAAAAGGUUGAAGAGUGAGUUUGCAUUUUGGAAAAUGUUGAUGAAUUUAAGGUUGGAGAUUUGUCAUCUCACCAAUGGCAUUUGAUGCUGUCACUGGAAAAUCAGUAACAACGCCAUCAACAGAAACCUCCUUGUCUAUAAAUUGCAGGUACUCAGCUGUAGGAUCAUAGCUAUAAUUGUAACUUGAAAAGAAAUCAUUAGCGAAACCAGAAGCAUAUACUUCUAGUCCAAGUUUAUGAGCAUCAGCUACAAGUGUUGUAGGAAGCCCCAAAUAUUUGUCUGGUUUAACUGGCCAUAUGUAUUCUUUUGGGACCAUUAUGCCUGAAGCAAAUGACUUGAUAUUCAAAAGAUCCUUCACAAUCUCACCAUAUGGCUUUAUGGUUGUGGAUUCAACAUCAGUAGCAUGAAGAAGCUGAAAGAUGACCUUAGUUGCCUUGUUUGAUUUCCCAUUGAUGCUCUUCAAGAAACUGAUCUCUGAAGAUGAAACAAAGUCUAUAGGGUAAACUUUUAAUAUUUCUAGAACAAUAUCUACCACCUUUAAUCCAUGUUGACUGUAAAAUGCUUCACUCUGCAACAAAACACUCAAUUACUACAUAAUGAAACUGAAAGGAGAAAAUGACAGGGCUCAAGGAUUUUCAAUUUUCAC
rnacentral:lncRNA from 1 species